UACGCGGAUAGGAACCAUGGCGUAUUUAUAUAUGCUUGUGGGCCGAUAACCCGCGAAUAUCAAGUGAUGAUAAUGGUCGCAGUUCGGUACUUUUAUCGAUACUGCAUACUGCUUCGUCGAACAGUU
rnacentral:snoRNA from 1 species